AUGAACGCUGGCGGCGUGCCUAAUACCUGCAAGUAGAACGCUGAAGGAGGAGCUUGCUCUUCUGGAUGAGUUGCGAACGGGUGAGUAACGCGUAGGUAACCUGCCUGGUAGCGGGGGAUAACUAUUGGAAACGAUAGCUAAUACCGCAUGACAACAGUUAUUGCAUGAUAACUGUUUAAAAGGGGCAACUGCUCCACUACCAGAUGGACCUGCGUUGUAUUAGCUAGUUGGUGAGGUAACGGCUCACCAAGGCGACGAUACAUAGCCGACCUGAGAGGGUGAUCGGCCACACUGGGACUGAGACACGGCCCAGACUCCUACGGGAGGCAGCAGUAGGGAAUCUUCGGCAAUGGACGGAAGUCUGACCGAGCAACGCCGCGUGAGUGAAGAAGGUUUUCGGAUCGUAAAGCUCUGUUGUAAGAGAAGAACGAGUGUGAGAGUGGAAAGUUCACACUGUGACGGUAUCUUACCAGAAAGGGACGGCUAACUACGUG
rnacentral:rRNA from 1 species